CAGAUUCGUAACUUUCCUGGUAACUUCUGGAGAACAUGAGGCAAUUUAUUCUGCUGUCGGCGGUGGUGGUGAUGGUGGCAGCGAUGCCCGAUGUAAAGGCUUCACCAGAUCCAAACUACGCCCCAUACUGCAAUGUUGUGAAAAAGCAGACGCGCGUGUGUUGCUCUGACAACAACAUCUACAACAACUUGUGCGCACUGAACCACCAGAAAUGCAACGAUGCAACACUCACUCAACUUGGCUAAGCGGCCUGCAAGAAACUGCUGAGAGAGAAAAGAUGAAGGCAGACCUGUGUGCAAACCAAACCGUCUAUCUUGUGUGGCGCUGACGGCAUGCUGUACAGCGACUGCGAGCUGGAAGCCGAGCGCUGCAACGAGCCUGACUUCCAGGCUGACGACAACCUGAAGGGAUGCCCAGGUCAUCAUCCAGCCUGGAGCAUACUGGGAUGGUCAUGAAUGGAAAAGUUCUGGAAACAAACGAUGGGCCAGUAAUAAAACUAGAAAAUUAGGAACAUGAACACCAAGAUGAACUGCAAACUACUGAACAAGUAGCUGGUGACCAAGUGCUAGUGCUGAACAACGGUUCAAGGAAGAGGGCAAGAGCAUCCUCUUCUUCAGCAUCCCUAAAGUGCUCCACGCCCAAGAAAGCGGCCCGUAACCUGCUGGAGGACAGCAGCAGU